CUUUGGAAAGUGGUCAUGAGGUCUGCUUUUUCAAGAAUUGGACUCAUACCCUUAUAAAUGAGACCUCAGAGAACUUUCUCAUUCCUUCCACCAUAGGAGGACAUAGUGACAAGCAUCCUGAAUGUGAAGGAGGAAAUUGUCCAAGCCAGACACAGUAUUCUGCUGGCUCUUUGAACGAGGGCCUCCAUCUUCUAGAACUGCAAGGGUAGCUUGAAUGAUAAGUGACCACGGGGGGUAAAGUCAAGAGCUCAGAUACUUGAGGACAACUGAGGAAAAGAUGGUGGUGUUGUAUGGACCUCAUGAGGCCUGCUGCUGGAAAGUGUGGAGUCUUUAAGAAGGGGAUUGUGGGAUGUCACUUCCUCUUCUUUCUCUUCGGAGCCACAGGUGGAUUAGCAGUGGACUGACUCAUCUCAGAGCAGGAAGACACCUGCCACUCACUGACUCUGCUCCAUGGACUGCCAGCUCUGAGGGAUCUCUGCCCCUUGGCUUACCGGGCAUAAAGCAAAGGACUGCUGAGGAACACUCAGCUACGGUGGUUCCUUUAUCCAUCUGCCCCACUAGCACUUGAAUUGCCAACAGGAAACAACUGCCAAGAGGGAAACCAUGCUUCCAGGCAAAGGAAAUGCAUGGUCCUUGAGUCAGUGGAGCGCUGAGGAGAAGAGGAACCAGAUGUAGGCAAGAUGGCACCCACCACGCGUGCCUGCCAAUUGUUGGAGCUCAAGGCCUUUUGUCUUUGAGAGUGGAUUGUGAGUCAUGUGCCUGCUGCUAGAUGCCAGCUAAGCCCGCAGCACCAGUGGGGAAACAGUUAAGUCAAAUCUGUCUGGAUUCAGUCUAUAGACAUCUCCAAGCUGGAGCCACCGUUGCUGGAAGCAAAGAAGUCACGGUUUUUGAUACAGGAUUCCCCAAACCCUCAUGCUCCAUCUCACUCGCUGUAGGAAAGAGCUGUGUGAGAAAUCUUGAAGGCUGUGCCAACUGCUCAUGCGCCAGCUCAUUGCUCUGGGAGAGAAUCCAGCUGGUCCUGUCACUCACCUGCCCAGGAGUCCAGCCCUCCAGAAAAGCUGGUCUAUCUGAAGACAAGCGAAGGAGACUAGCCAAAUAAUUAUUCCCUCAAUGAGAAAAUGUCCGUGUCUUCCUCAAAGCAGUUUGCAGCUGUUUGCAGAGCUUCCAUGACGUGGCCCUGCUUGGAGUCUGUUUGCUUUUCUGAGUUACUGGGAAAGGUGUAGUUUUUUUUUUUUUUUUUUUUUUUUCCAUUUCUUUUCGAUACUGAUCAAAACCUGAGCAUGAUUUCCCUGCACUCUGGGCUUUCUUGUUUAUUUUCUAAGCUCCCCACACCUUCCUUUAUGUAUACCUGUGUCUGCCACACAGCUGUUGGUCAACCUCUGGCACUGAAUCUGCCAGCUUUCCUUGGCUCUAAGUCCCAAACCAGGGCUUCUCUCGUCCUUCCCUUCUUUCUCUUUCUGGUAGUUGCAGAAAUUUACACCUUGCCUACCCUAUUCCUAUUUUUUUCAAGCUCAUAAAACUGUCCCAAGAGUCCUCAGUUUCUAAAUUCUUUUUAUCAAUGAAACUAAGAGCACUAAAGAAUGGGCCCUAAGUCUCCUGGUAGCAACAUGGUCUAGUGCCGCCAGGGCAAAAGGGCUCUGUGUCCCCCCUCUGCACCAUGAGUCUAUGUCUGCCGCUCCUUCACACUUUUCCCAGGACCUUUCCUCUACAGCACUGUCCAUGAAAUCUGGAGCUAUUAUGUACUUUGAGGCUGGUUGGGCUUGUCCAAGU